GUCAGAGCCCCCUGCCCCUUCUGCUUCUCCAGACAGAUGGACAGCCGGCCAGUUCACCUUUCAGGGAAGAGGAGUUCAUUAUAGUUUGCUUGUGCCAUCGCUUGUCUCUGCAGCACAGUGCUAUGAUACAGGGACGUGAUAGAAUGUGGAAACGGUCAUAGCUGGUAUUAACUGCUAAUCACUAACCUUGUGCUGAACUGCACACGAAUGUCUUUUGAAUGCUCUGAGUGAUUUAUAAUAUGCUGAAACAGAUCUACUUGCUGUCAAACUAGUAUGUUACUGGAUGUGGCAGGGAAGCCAUGUUCUUCAUAGUGAAGUGAAUGCAAUUUGAGGUUAAUUAUAUUAUUAGCUCUUGCUUUUUGCUCAUUCUUACCCCAGCGGUGUUGACUUUCUCAGCAAUGCACUACUUCAAUGAUUAUUCCUCCUCCAAUCACAUACUAACAUACAAAACAUUGUUUUUCUCAUGUAUCUAUACAACUUUAACAGUUCAACAUGCAGGCAGGGUAGAGCGAUCAUGAUGUGUGUGUAUUUUUCAGAUUGAUGAGCUGUCUAUUAAACCUUCUGAUCGAUCCCAGGUGUCUGGCCCCGGGCCUUCAUCCCAGAUCUACGAUAACAACGCCCUCCCUGAGCUGCCCUCAGUUCCCGACACGCUUCCCACUUCCUCCUUUGGAGUUGGACGAAACACUGCGAGCUCUGAUGACAUCGACUUUGAUGACCUGUCACGGCGCUUUGAGGAUCUGAAGAAGAAGACCUAAUCCUCCAGUAUCCCAUCAUGCUGUGUUGUCAGUCACCGCAGUUACAGGAAAUGUUUAAAUAUUUGGAUUGGCACCCUUUGCAGUGAAACUCUCCUCACUGUGUAGUUUUACUGAUGUUAACAUGAACUGUACCUCAUUUAAACACACGUGUCUGUCUGGCAUACUGAAGGUGAAGGCCCUUUAGAGGGCUAUUUGACAGUACAUUUUGCAGUACACUUUAUUAUCGACUACGUCCAAUCAACUGGACCAUAUAGGUGUCAUCUUUAUAUGAGCACUUUGGAUAUGAAAUGGCCUUCCUGAUAGUAACUAGUACUCUAUGUAACCUCUCAAUCUUUCUCGUUGUUAUGGUUGUCCCCUAUCCCCUUGACUCACAGUAUGAGACAAUAUUUGGUUAAUAAUCAAAUAGUCUUAACUAGUAGGGUCUCUCGUCCAGAGACUGGAUUGAGUAAUCCAGAAUGUCAAUAGUGUGUCGUUGGUGGGUUUCAUGAACCUGUUUUUUUACCUGCCACUGAAUCGCCUACUAGAACAACCUGUUUUCUGGCACACCCAUUAUGUCGAAAUAUUCAGGCCUAGGACAUUUUCAAGACCGGGUGCUACGGCCUGUCGGGUUUUACCCUCGUUACUCUCUGGGUCUGGACCUUUGGGGACAUCUGAAACCGGUUCUUUGACAUAUCUGUUACCUUACAUGGGGUGAAGGGAUUUAAUUAGACUUGAUUGAUAAAGUGGGGUAUUGCGAUAUGAAAUACACAAUGCUAUUUACAGGAAGGAUUGUUUUAAUUGUACAGCAAACGAAUGUUGGUAGGAGGUUGAAGGCAAGAGUUGGAAAAUAUUUUUAUUUUGUACAUUUGUUCUAAUAAUAUUCACUUGAUGUUUUAAAGAUGAUUUAGUUUAACCCUAUACAUGCACUUUCCAUGUUUGUGUAAAAUAACCCAUGCAGUGUAUUGGUGACUGGAAUGCAUGAUUUCACUGGUGACAGAAAUUAUACUCUAUGACAAACCACUUGACCAUGUAAGUUUGAUGUAAAUACGUUCCUCAAAUGUAAUGGGUUCUUCUUCCUCUUUGUGUAAUAGAGGUUUAUAGUGUGAUUCAGUAUGUUAUCUAUGUAUGUGCGUCACACUGCAUUUACCAUCAUCCAAGACCUUCCCAUUCUGUAAGUAUAUUCAGACUAUGUACACGUAACAUGCUGUGGUGGAAAAACGACCCAAUUGUCAUACUUGAAUAAAAGUAAAGAUGCCUUAAUAGAAAAUGACUCAAGUGAAAGUCACCCAGUAAAAUACUACUUGAUUAAAAGUCAAAGUAUUUGGUUUUAAAAUACUUAAGUAUUGAAAGUAUAAAUAAUUAAAAAUUCCUUAUUUUAAGCAACCAGAAAACACAAUUCUUGUGUUUUUAAAUUUUGCGGAUAGCCAGGGACACACUCCCAACACAGACAUAAUACACAAACUAAGCAUUUGUGUUUAGUAAGCCCACCAGAUCAGAGGCGAUAGAGAUGACCAGGGAUGUUAUUUUGAUAGUGUGAAUUGGACCAAUUUUCUGUCCUGUUAAGCAUUCAAAAUGUAACGAGUACUUUUGGGUGUCGGGGAAAAUGUACAAUAUUUUUUUUGGGGGAAAGUAGUGAAGUAAAAGUUGUCAAAAUUAUAAAUAGUAAAGUACAGAUACUCCAGAAAAUGACUUAAGUAGUACUGUAAAGUAUUUUUACCUAAGUACUUUACACCACUUGUAACAUGCCUAUUUCUUAAUUUAUAUAAUCUUUGUUAAAAUUAGUUUUAAGUUUUUUUAUUUUAUGAACAUUGAAUCUUGGUGAUGGAAGUAGUUUUGAUAAAGGAGAGAAACGGGGCUGGAUUUGCUGUUCCAGUCUUAUAGCUUGUUUUCACUCAUUUACUAUGGAUGGAAGUUAGGACUGUCUACUCCACCAUCCUAAAAUAAGACUUUAACACUACCGUACAGUGACCCGCUCACUGCUUUGACUGCUCAUCCUCUUAGGUGUAAUAUAGGAUUGUUUGAAGAGUGUUUGAUACUAACUUUGAUUAGCAAGUGUACUGUAUAUCUUGUCACAAAACAGAUAUUAGCCUAUGUUUCUUAUGUCUAAUAAAGGACAUAUUUCUAAUUGAAGUUCUGGGGUGGCUAAUUUUCUUAGAUGUAAUUGUUUCUGUGUCAUAUCUUUUCAAGUGAAUAAGUGCUACUGUAAUCAAGGAAGUCGGUUGGUAGUGCAGUGUAGCUACUAGUGCUGCCACUAGAGAGGGUAGAUUACCAGUGUUAGUUGUUUGCAGUAACUUUGUUGUUGUAAUAUCGCCAACAGACAUGGCUGUUUCACCAUUAAGGAUUCCGGCUUUAAGACUGAAAUAUAGAGAUGUUGAUAUGAAUGUGAUGUUUUUAUACAUAUUCGUUUUUUUCUUUAGAUGCCCGGCCUCAUAGGGUUCAACUGUUGGCACAUAUGAUGCCUUUAACAACUUCCAGCCUCCAAUGAGAGGAGGACACCCCCCUGAGCUGCCCAGCUGCCCCCUCCCUACGAGUCUAUUGAUGAGCUGUCUAUUAAACCUUCUGAUCGAUCCCAGGUGUCUGGCCCCGGGCCUUCAUCCCAGAUCUACGAUAACAACGCCCUCCCUGAGCUGCCCUCAGUUCCCGACACGCUUCCCACUUCCUCCUUUGGAGUUGGACGAAACACUGCGAGCUCUGAUGACAUCGACUUUGAUGACCUGUCACGGUGCUUUGAGGAUCUGAAGAAGAAGACCUAAUCCUCCAGUAUCCCAUCAUGCUGUGUUGUCAGUCACCGCAGUUACAGGAAAUGUUUAAAUAUUUGGAUUGGCACCCUUUGCAGUAAAACUCUCCUCACUGUGUAGUUUUACUGAUGUAAACAUGGACUGUACUUCAUUCAAACACACGUGUCUGUUUGGCAUACUGAAGGUGAAGGCCCUUUAGAGGGCUAUUUGACAGUACAUUUUGCAGUACACUUUAUUAUCGACUACGUCCAAUCAACUGGACCAUAUAGGUGUCAUCUAUAUAUGAGCACUUUGGAUAUAAAAUGGCCUUCCUGAUAGUAACUAGUACUCUAUGUAACCUCUCAAUCUUUCUCGUUGUUAUGGUUGUCCCCUAUCCCCUUGACUCACAGUAUGAGACAAUAUUUGGUUAAUAAUCAAAUAGUCUUAACCAAUAGUGUCUCUCGU